CCUACGGGGGGCAGCAGUGGGGAAUAUUGGGCAAUGGAGGAAACUCUGACCCAGCAACGCCGCGUGAAUGAUGAAGGUCUUCGGAUUGUAAAGUUCUUUUCUAAGGGAAGAAGAAAGUGACGGUACCGUAGGAAUAAGCCUCGGCUAACUACGGGCCAGCAGCAGCGGUAAUACGUCGGAGGCAAGCGUUAGCCGGAAUGACUGGGCGUAAAGGGUGCGUAGGUGGUGUGAUAAGUUGGUAGCGUAACUCCGAGGCUCAACCUCGGCACUUCUACCAAAACGGUCGGACUUGAGUGCAGGGGGCGCAACUGGAAUUCCUGGUGUAGCGGUUUCAUGCGUAGCUAUUA
rnacentral:rRNA from 1 species